rnacentral:lncRNA from 1 species
UACCUGGGGGAGGCAGAGGGCGGCUAGCGCCCAUCUCUGCCCAACCCGUGCCCAGGCUGCUCACUCAGUGAUGUCCCUGGGGGCAGCCAAGGUGGGAGCAUUUACCCUGAAAGUCGGCAGGUGCUGAGGCCGCACGUCAGCACCUUUCACGUCCACACUGAACAGGCUGCUGGCAUGUGCACCAGCACCUGGACAGCUGCUCAGCACCGCAGGUGAGCGUCCCUUACCCAGAACCUGGGGAACCAGGAGCGCGUCAGGCCUUGGAACAGAGGC